AAAAAUGCCUGGCAGGGGAGACACCAUGAUUAGGCAGGUGGUUUUCACAGCAGGAGGCUCAUCUCCUACACUCCAGGUGUGCUGAUCACUGCAAUUUUCUCUCAAAUGAGGGAAACUUGCUGUGUAAUUUGUGGUAGUGGGGUACUGUGUUCAUGCUGUCCCUGG
ensembl:snRNA U1 U1 spliceosomal RNA